rnacentral:rRNA from 1 species
CGGGACACGUGGUAUCCUGUCUGAAUAUGGGGGGACCAUCCUCCAAGGCUAAAUACUCCUGACUGACCGAUAGUGAACCAGUACCGUGAGGGAAAGGCGAAAAGAACCCCGGCGAGGGGAGUGAAAAAGAACCUGAAACCGUGUACGUACAAGCAGUGGGAGCACGCUUAGGCGUGUGACUGCGUACCUUUUGUAUAAUGGGUCAGCGACUUAUAUUCUGUAGCAAGGUUAACCGAAUAGGGGAGCCGAAGGGAAACCGAGUCUUAACUGGGCGUUAAGUUGCAGGGUAUAGACCCGAAACCCGGUGAUCUAGCCAUGGGCAGGUUGAAGGUUGGGUAACACUAACUGGAGGACCGAACCGACUAAUGUUGAAAAAUUAGCGGAUGACUUGUGGCUGGGGGUGAAAGGCCAAUCAAACCGGGAGAUAGCUGGUUCUCCCCGAAAGCUAUUUAGGUAGCGCCUCGUGAAUUCAUCUCCGGGGGUAGAGCACUGUUUCGGCAAGGGGGUCAUCCCGACUUACCAACCCGAUGCAAACUGCGAAUACCGGAGAAUGUUAUCACGGGAGACACACGGCGGGUGCUAACGUCCGUCGUGAAGAGGGAAACAACCCAGACCGCCAGCUAAGGUCCCAAAGUCAUGGUUAAGUGGGAAACGAUGUGGGAAGGCCCAGACAGCCAGGAUGUUGGCUUAGAAGCAGCCAUCAUUUAAAGAAAGCGUAAUAGCUCACUGGUCGAGUCGGCCUGCGCGGAAGAUGUAACGGGGCUAAACCAUGCACCGAAGCUGCGGCAGCGACGCUGAUGCGUUGUUGGGUAGGGGAGCGUUCUGUAAGCCUGUGAAGGUGUGCUGUGAGGCAUGCUGGAGGUAUCAGAAGUGCGAAUGCUGACAUAAGUAACGAUAAAGCGGGUGAAAAGCCCGCUCGCCGGAAGACCAAGGGUUCCUGUCCAACGUUAAUCGGGGCAGGGUGAGUCGACCCCUAAGGCGAGGCCGAAAGGCGUAGUCGAUGGGAAACAGGUUAAUAUUCCUGUACUUGGUGUUACUGCGAAGGGGGGACGGAGAAGGCUAUGUUGGCCGGGCGACGGUUGUCCCGGUUUAAGCGUGUAGGCUGGUUUUCCAGGCAAAUCCGGAAAAUCAAGGCUGAGGCGUGAUGACGAGGCACUACGGUGCUGAAGCAACAAAUGCCCUGCUUCCAGGAAAAGCCUCUAAGCAUCAGGUAACAUCAAAUCGUACCCCAAACCGACACAGGUGGUCAGGUAGAGAAUACCAAGGCGCUUGAGAGAACUCGGGUGAAGGAACUAGGCAAAAUGGUGCCGUAACUUCGGGAGAAGGCACGCUGAUAUGUAGGUGAAGCGACUUGCUCGUGGAGCUGAAAUCAGUCGAAGAUACCAGCUGGCUGCAACUGUUUAUUAAAAACACAGCACUGUGCAAACACGAAAGUGGACGUAUACGGUGUGACGCCUGCCCGGUGCCGGAAGGUUAAUUGAUGGGGUCAGCGCAAGCGAAGCUCUUGAUCGAAGCCCCGGUAAACGGCGGCCGUAACUAUAACGGUCCUAAGGUAGCGAAAUUCCUUGUCGGGUAAGUUCCGACCUGCACGAAUGGCGUAAUGAUGGCCAGGCUGUCUCCACCCGAGACUCAGUGAAAUUGAACUCGCUGUGAAGAUGCAGUGUACCCGCGGCAAGACGGAAAGACCCCGUGAACCUUUACUAUAGCUUGACACUGAACAUUGAGCCUUGAUGUGUAGGAUAGGUGGGAGGCUUUGAAGUGUGGACGCCAGUCUGCAUGGAGCCGGCCUUGAAAUACCACCCUUUAAUGUUUGAUGUUCUAACGUUGACCCGUGAUCCGGGUUGCGGACAGUGUCUGGUGGGUAGUUUGACUGGGGCGGUCUCCUCCUAAAGAGUAACGGAGGAGCACGAAGGUUGGCUAAUCCUGGUCGGACAUCAGGAGGUUAGUGCAAUGGCAUAAGCCAGCUUGACUGCGAGCGUGACGGCGCGAGCAGGUGCGAAAGCAGGUCAUAGUGAUCCGGUGGUUCUGAAUGGAAGGGCCAUCGCUCAACGGAUAAAAGGUACUCCGGGGAUAACAGGCUGAUACCGCCCAAGAGUUCAUAUCGACGGCGGUGUUUGGCACCUCGAUGUCGGCUCAUCACAUCCUGGGGCUGAAGUAGGUCCCAAGGGUAUGGCUGUUCGCCAUUUAAAGUGGUACGCGAGCUGGGUUUAGAACGUCGUGAGACAGUUCGGUCCCUAUCUGCCGUGGGCGCUGGAGAACUGAGGGGGGCUGCUCCUAGUACGAGAGGACCGGAGUGGACGCAUCACUGGUGUUCGGGUUGUCAUGCCAAUGGCACUGCCCGGUAGCUAAAUGCGGAAGAGAUAAGUGCUGAAAGCAUCUAAGCACGAAACUUGCCCCGA